UAGNCCACGCAGUAAACGAUGAUAACUAGCUGUUUGCGAUACACAGUAAGCGGCACAGCGAAAGCGUUAAGUUAUCCACCUGGGGAGUACGCCGGCAACGGUGAAACUCAAAGGAAUUGACGGGGGCCCGCACAAGCGGAGGAACAUGUGGUUUAAUUCGAUGAUACGCGAGGAACCUUACCCGGGCUUGAACGUAGGGAGACAGUUCUGGAAACAGAAUCUCUAGCAAUAGCUGCCUACGAGGUGCUGCAUGGUUGUCGUCAGCUCGUGCCGUGAGGUGUCGGCUUAAGUGCCAUAACGAGCGCAACCCACAUCGAUAGUUACUAACAGGUUAAGCUGAGGACUCUAUCGAGACUGCCAGCGUAAGCUGUGAGGAAGGUGUGGAUGACGUCAAAUCAGCACGGCCCUUACGUCCAGGGCUACACACGUGUUACAAUGGGGGGUACAAAGGGCAGCUACCUGGCGACAGGAUGCUAAUCUCAAAAACCUCUCUCAGUUCGGAUUGGAGUCUGCAACCCGACUCCAUGAAGCUGGAUUCGCUAGUAAUCGCGCAUCAGCCACGGCGCGGUGAAUACGUUCCCGGGCCUUGUACACACCGCCCGUCAAGCCAUGGGAGCCGGGGGGACCUGAAGUAUGCAACCGUAAGGAGCGUCCUAGGGUAAAACUGGUGACUGGGGCU
rnacentral:rRNA from 1 species